CUGUGAUGGAGCGUUUGAAUUCCAGAGCCAAACUUCACUCACUGCGCAAACAACCACUGAGCUCAUCAACAAAUAGAGAUGAUCCCUUCAAGAAAUGCACUCGAACAGCACCAUGACUUCUGUGGGAAGAACUCAAGCUUAUGGAAGACUGUCAGAGUCAGAGCACUUGCUACGCCUCCAGCCCCCAACUCCCAUUAUCCUCUCGGACAGAAGGAAAUGGCCAUUUCUCAUUUUCUGCAGUUGCAGUGAACAUGCUUUACUCAUUAGCAGACAACUCCAGCAGAUGCAGAACAUGACUGAUGCUUUAUCUCGAAGGAGAACACGAUCCUCCUGCCUGUGAAGUUCUUAGCCGAUGUAGUUUUUUAACACAUCUGCAUAUGUUUCUAUUUUAGCUCUGCAUGUCAAAAAAAGGAAAAAAAGAAACAUUCCAAAAUGUGAGUAGUCAAGUGCUUCUUCUAUUUUGGUCUGUUCCGUUCAAAAAUCAUACUGGCCCUUAUUUUUUGGACACUGUCUGCACCCUAACUCAUGUUUAACUAAAAAUAAAAAAUAAAAAAAAGCAAUUGUUCACGCUCAAACUGCAGCUCUCAGUUUUCCCUGAGGGGUUUGUAUUUCAGCUUAAUACUACUGUGAUGCUGGGUAUAGAGUCAUGCAUGAAUGCAGGGAAGCAGUACCAUGUUUGUUUGAGAAGUAAUGCAAAGUGAAUGCCCCUGCAAAACAAAGAAAAUGUGAGCAGUUACAUCAAGACUGUUCAACCACAGAUUAGGUAACGAAACUCAAAUGAAGCCUGCUAGGAGAGAUGCACAUGACCCCUCUUAACUUAACCCUCAAAACUCAAUAGAAAUCAAAGGCUUCAGUACUGAGGGAGACCAUACCAUUAGGGAUAGUUCACCCAAAAAUCGAAAUUUUGUCAUGAUUUACUCAGCCUCCACUUGUUCCAAACCUGUAUGAGUUUCUUUCUUCUGUUGAAUGCAAAAGAAGAUGUUUUUGAAGAAUGUUAAAUAUAACCUAAAGAUCAUCAGGUUUUCACGCAAGU